UACAGAGGUCUCAAGCGUUGUUCGGAUUCAUUGGGCGUAAAGGGUGCGUAGGUGGCGUCGUAAGUCGGGUGUGAAAUUUCGGAGCUUAACUCCGAAACUGCAUUCGAUACUGCGGUGCUUGAGGACUGGAGAGGAGACUGGAAUUUACGGUGUAGCAGUGAAAUGCGUAGAGAUCGAUAAGGAAGACCAGUGGCGAAGGCGGGGUCUCUGGACAAGUUCCUGACACUGAGGCACGAAGGCCAGGGGAGCAAACGGG
rnacentral:rRNA from 1 species